UGGGGAAUUUUUCGCAAUGGGGGAAACCCUGACGAAGCAACGCCGCGUGGAGGAUGAAGGCCUUCGGGUCGUAAACUCCUGUCGACCGGGACGAACGCUAUUGGGCCCAAUACGCCCGAUAGUCGACUGUACCGGUGGAGGAAGCCACGGCUAACUCUGUGCCAGCAGCCGCGGUAAUACAGAGGUGGCAAGCGUUGUUCGGAAUUACUGGGCGUAAAGGGCGCGUAGGCGGUCCUGUCAGUCCCUUGUGAAAUCCCCGGCUCAACUGGGGAACUGCAAGGGAUACAGCAGGGCUUGAGUUCGGGAGAGGGAAGCGGAAUUCCAGGUGUAGCGGUGAAAUGCGUAGAUAUCUGGAGGAACACCGGUGGCGAAGGCGGCGUUCUGGACUGCAACUGACACUGAAGAACGAAAGCCAGGGUAGCAAACGGGAUUAGAUACCCCAGUAGUCCCUGAGCGGGCUGGCAAGGCGCAU
rnacentral:rRNA from 1 species